rnacentral:rRNA from 1 species
ACCACCUGAUCCCAUCUCGAACUCAGAAGUGAAACCGCUUAGCGCCGAUGGUAGUGUGGGGUUUCCCCAUGUGAGAGUAGGUCAUUGUCAGGC